GCAUUGGAUUUGUGGAUUUUUUUUCGCCCAAACCUGAACCUGAGUCAUAUAUGACAUAUAAUCACCAUGGCAACGCAACGUUAGAAGCCCCCCCGCGCGUUACCCCCCGAGUAAAUACACGGCGGCCGCUUAGACCUCGUCUGAUAUCAUAUUGGGUGAAAGUGGACUGUUGACGUGAUGCUGUGGACCAUCACAUUCAAUGUGAGACAAAAAAAAGCGCGAUUAGCUGAUUUUACUAAACCACUCAAAACAAUUACCCCUAACGCAAGUAAUCGAGUUGUAAGUUCCCAUAAAAUCCCUUUUGUAGUAUUUUAAAUGAAAACUCGACGUCCGGGACCUCGACGUCACAGACCCAGCUGGUAUAAAAGCCUCAGUCCGACGCAGCAUCCUCAUUAAAGAGAAGCAGCGUCUGUGAGCAGCCUCCUCUUCCUCCUCCUCUGGCCAAAUUACUGCAAACAAAAAGAGAAUGUCCAAAAUGACGAUCUUUCAGCUCGGAGUGAUUUUGUUCACCAUAUGUUUAUCAACGCAGGUGGUUUCCCAGACCACCCUGGCAAUGGCGAACUCCACACGCAACCAAAACGCCACCACCAUGGCAACAAACACCCACAGCAGUGCGGCCAACACUACCGCCCCGGUUGGAAGGGGCGUCUCGCUGCUCGCAGGCACCGUCUCCUUCCUGAUCCCCGUCGUCACGGCAGCCUCUGUCCAUCAGCGCUAUUGUUAAAGGCUCGGACGCCACAGGGCCCCCCAACCCCCCCCUUACUCGGCAUCAACACUCCUCCUCAUCUUAUCAUCCCACCCACUCCAGCCUCACUCCUCUCCUCUUCACCGCACCGCACCGGGACCACAAGACCAACAUGGAUGGACUCUAAAAUCUUUUUUUUUUGCCCCCCCCUUCCAUAAAUUCAUUAUAAAAAAAUCUGUAAUUCAAGACGUUUCUUUUAAUAAAGGGGGUUUAACCGUCGACUGGAGAUCAUCACCAAACCCCUUCAGCCCCUUGCAUGGAAUCAGAAGGAAUGGCGGUUGGCCCAGCUUCCCUUUUGGCCUGCGUUUCCAUAGUUACGUCAUUGAAUUUUGAUCAGGGCUGCGGUUGUAAUAUCAAAUGUCCUGAUUGAAAUGCGGACCACUUGAGUGUACAGAGGUUUUAUUUGUGGCUUUAAUUAGACUCAAUAAUAUUUUUGUCUGUGAAGUUGACUUUGGCACACACAGUAGGAGUUUUCUUCAAGAAAGUUUGAGCCAGAUGACAAAUUUGAAUCAGGUUCUUUCAUAAUUUGCCUCUCUGGUCUUUUUUAUUAGAAUUGUCUAAGAAAUGUUUGUAGCAAAUAAGUUGCCACAAGACUUGUGUCAGUUUUGCCUUGUGACGUGUAAAGAGUUGCGGUCUUUUACAAUGAGGGUUUUAAUGACACCUUUCCCUCCUUCAACCAUGGGUUAGACCCAGGGAGUGGCUGUAUGUAUAUUAUAACCAUAUGGGAAGGGUUGGCGUUAGAUUUAUAUUCUACCCUUGUAGUUUAUAUUUUGUAAAAAUUAAAAAUGUUGUACUGGUUAAUAGUUUGGGUAUAAAAUAAUGGAAGAAAUUAAAAUGUACAAUAAAUUAUGAAAAAUGAAGACAAGUGUAAUAUUUUCUUUGAUUCACAAAAGCAGCACCUACACCAAUAUUUUAUCAACGCAACGGCGUCUUGUUCUCCAGUUCUGAAACUUUGCACGGAUCUCCCGCCCAUAAAACCAUGCUGAUGUUCUACAUAUAAAGGGUGUGGCGGUGUCACCAUUUAAUGGGCUGCCUUGGCAGUCUAGACGUGCAACCCGCUGAGCUGCAGGCCAGAGACGGACCCGGCGGUCCCUGAUGCCCCCACUGAUCUCCUCUGGAUUAGUGCCAGAGCGGCAUAAGGCAGAACUGUAGCCCCCGUGGUAUACUGGUGAUGUACAAAGUCCG
ensembl:lncRNA